AGGAAGUAGGCUGACUGUUUUCAGGG
rnacentral:piRNA from 1 species